UUAACUCAGCUUUGUAUGGAGUCGGAAAGUUUUCUUACGUUUGCCGUUAGAGGCGCUGUUCCAACUGCAUACAAAUUUGAGAUA
rnacentral:pre_miRNA from 1 species